CUGAGGUUCAGAAGGGUGAGAUGACACAUUCAAGGUCACAUGGCUCAUUUGUGUUGGAGUCAGAAGUUUCCAGAUUUCUUGACUUUUAGUCCAAGGAGCAGUCCCUGUGCAUGUGUCAGAGUUGAACAAGCCAGCUGGACUGAGUGCCCAUGACCUCAGGGACAUCUUGGAAGCUAUAUGUAGAAGAUGGAAAAGCCUCUGUCAUCUCCAUCAAUUUAAUCUCCAAAUAACUACUUAGAAAAGGGACAGCUUACUAACUCCUUCAUUGCCCAGUACUAUUAGAUACUAGACAUUGGGAAAAAAAACUUGGACUUGGGCUGCUGUAAGGAUACCAACUUCCCAGGAGCUCAUGAAUUGACAUUUGCAGUGCACCUGGGGAGGUGUCACACCAUGCCCAGAGCCUAGAGAAAAUGACAGGGACAUGAGCAUCACCUGGAGACAAGAUCUUCCUUGUGGGGUGAAGGACUACUGAUUGUUUGGGGACAUCCGAAAUCACUCAGGAUUGUGGUGACCAGUUGAACAGAGAUAUGCCAAAAGCAGGCAGUGAUUUAUAUCCCUGCAGAAGGAGUCUCGCCCUGUCACCAGGCUGGAGUGCGAUGGUGCAAUCUCUGCUCACUGCAACUUCCACCUCCCGGGUUCAAAUUUCUCCUGCCUCAGCCUCCUAAGUGGCUGGGACUACAGGUGCCUGCCGCCAUGCCUGGCUAAUUUUUUGUAUUUUAGUAGAGAUGGGGUUUAGGCUGGUCUCGAACUCCUGAGCUCAGGCAAUCUGCCCUCCUGAGCUCAGGCAAUCUGCCUGCCUGGGCCUCCCAAAGUGCUAGGAUUACAGGCAUGAGCCACCGCCCUCAGCCACUAUCUUAUUUUUUAGCCUAUCUGAAUUAAAAACAUAAAGUCUUCUCUAUGUAUGUUGAUGAUAAACUUUGGGUUUCAAGGAAAAGAGUCACUCAGGCAACUUCCAAGAAUGGGAGGGGAGAAGGGGUUGUUAUAGGAUACAGUGGAAAUAAAUCUGGGAGGAAUCUCAAUCAUGUUCCAAGAGCUUGCAGGGGCCCAGAGAAAUUCUCACAAUGAGGCCUCACAGGAAAAGCAAGAACACCGACAGCAGGAAAGCUUGGAGGCUAAGAGUUCCCUUGGAAGUUGAACUACUGCCUGAGAAUAUUAAAACAAAAACAGAAACACGUAAAUAGCCAGCCCUGAAACGAGCCUCUCAACUUCUGAUAGGUUAUAUUUACAUUUAUGUACUUUCCUAUCACAGUUUAUAAUCAAGCUAAGGCUAGUAGCCUUGAAUAUUUUUAGGGCUGCAAUUUGUACAUCAUCUAAGCUAACAGAUGAAAAGUGCAAGUGUAGUUGCCUAAGCACAGGUACAUUCGUUCAACAACAAAUCUUUACCUGAAUGUCCAUUGUAUGUCCGACGCUGUCCUGUAUCCUGGGGUGGCAGCCUGGGGACCUGAGAGGACUUUGAGUGGAGCUAAAGAAACAGAAAAUAACUUCAACUAAUAAAUGUCUUUUAAUAUCUCUUGCAAUGGAAAUUUUCAGUGGCUUAAUUUUUUUACUUGUCUACUUCGAAGGUGAAGUUACUCACAGGCAGGUUUCUUAGUUUACAGACUUAGCUUUUCUUCCACUCCCAGCGUAUUAUCAUUUAUCAACUAUUGUCAUUGAAUGUCCUUACACCAGGCAUGGUAGAUGGCUUUUCAGCUUCCAGGCAUCAUGUUGUGUCUUUUUAUUCUUCAAUGGUAUUGCUUUAAAUUGUAGGCAUCCUUGUAAUGGGUUUUCUUCUUUUUCUGACCCAUAAAAAAUUUCUGAUAAUAUUUGUUGAACUCUGAUCCCAUUAAAUUAAAAUUUUAGUUAUUAAAAGACAAGGUGUCACUUUUCUCAAUCUUAGAAACAGAUGAGGUCAGCUGCACUCCCUGCCCU
rnacentral:lncRNA from 10 species